rnacentral:rRNA from 1 species
AGCUYUUUGAUAUAWAUAAAGAGUAUGGCCUGCCCAGUGAGACUCCUUYUYUUAUUAAACGGCUGCAGAAUAUUAACUGUACUAAGGUAGCAUAAUCAUUUGUCUUUUAAUUAAAGACUAGUAUGAACGGCUGCACGAAAUAAAACUUUAUUAUUAAUAUUUUAUAAAAAUUGAUCUUUAAGUAAAAAAGCUUAAAUAAAAUAAAAAGACAAAAAGACCCUAUAGAGUUUUAUUUUACAUCUCUUUUAUUAAAAGAAAUUAAAAUUUAGUUGGGGCAACUAAAAAAAUCAUUUUUUUAUAAUUUAACACACUAUUUAAUCCUUAUAACAUUUAUCAUUUAUUAAAUAAUCUAAAACAAAUUACCUUAGGGAUAACAGCGUAAACUCUUUUUGAGAGUUCAAAUCGAAAAAAGAAAUUACGACCUCGAUGUUGGAUUAAAGAAACAUAAAAUARAAAAAAAUUUUAUUGGUAGUCKGUUCRACUAAWAAUCCUUUACAU